UUUCUUCCCUGCUUCAUCAUGUGGAAGUGUGUUUUCACUCCAUUUUCUAAAGAGGCCACUGUAUUUGCCGAUAUUUAAGUGUGCUCUCGCGAGGACAGUGGUUUUCAGCGGUUGGCCCAGCCUGUUGCUGUUGCUGGAAGUCCUUCUUGGGUUGAAGCAGCACACUGCUUGCUGAAGCUGUAGGAGCCUUUUGUGAAAGGAAAUCUCACCUGGAACCUGCAUUGGUAAAGCGUUCAGAAGUGGAGCUGCUCUGCUGGGGGGUUACUGAGGGCUGAUGAGGGGUCAUCGAGGCACCCUGCUGGACCCCUGACCCACUCCUGUCGGGGGCAGCGUGGGAACCAGCUGAUAAGAUGACUGCUUGGGUCUCUGGGAGCUGUCGUCCAGGAGUUUGUAUCUACGAUGUCUGCAAUGGGAGGCUUGUGGAGACCUUCCAGCCUUCCUUUCCUCUGCAGUGAUGACCGCAGAUGACAGCUGAUGCUCCAUCAGCCUGGGUUCCAGAAGAGAACCGUGAGAGCAGAGCCCCCAACUGAUAGGCAAUGAGCAUGUACCUCAAGCGAGAAAUAAACCUUUGUUUUAGGCCAAAAAACCAAAAACAAAAACAGCCUUAAUGAAUUUUGGAUUUUCC